UACGGGGGGGGGCAAGCGUUGUUCGGAAUUACUGGGCGUAAAGGGCUCGUAGGUGGCCAACUAAGUCAGACGCGAAAUCCCUCGGCUUAACCGGGGAACUGCGUCUGAUACUGGAUGGCUUGAGUUCGGGAGAGGGAUGCGGAAUUCCAGGUGUAGCGGUGAAAUGCGUAGAUAUCUGGAGGAAUACCGGUGGCGAAGGCGGCGUCCUGGCUCGCAUCUGACGCUCAGACACGACAGCAUGGGGAGCGAACGGG
rnacentral:rRNA from 1 species